AAGAAGGGCUUCUAUUGUGAGUGGCUCACGUAUGACAACUUGAUUGCUUUAUGUGCAAAAUCCACAGCAAAAGAUUUUGGAAGCAUGAUUUUUUAGUGCCUGGGCACCUGGUGAUCACUGGUUCUGAUGCCCAU